GAGAGGAAACAGGCGACGGUGGCCGGUAGUGGGCCUAAUCUCUUGGGACUGCGCUGCGCGCUCCCGGUGGGAUGCGCCUGCGCAUUAUGCUGGUCUCCAUGGCGGGGCCUCGGAGCCAAGACGAGAGAAAAUGCUUCUGUGAAGACACAAAGCUUUCACAUAAAUGAAGCUACAGCUAUCAUGAUUUAGUGACCCCAAAAGUAAGAACUUCCGUGGAUAAGAAAGGACAUUUAUUGGGUUAGUAGAAUGCUUGAGGCCUGAAAUUUAAACCUGAGCCACUAUCUGAAGCUAUUAAAUCAUAGAAGAAAAUGGAAUUGAAUAUGAUGUCAGCAUGGAACAAUCUAAUGAUUCAUUGAGAGCCAACCAUAAUGAUGGUGAAGAGUCAAAAACCGAUGCUCAGGUAUUUGAGCAUCUAACCUGUAUGGGCUCCAGGGAUUCUUCUUUUGAACAAAAUGAUUCUCCUAGAGUUUUGCCGAUCACUGCUCCUGAAGCAAAUAAUUCACUCACAUCACAGAAUAUACCAGGGACCCUGACUCAGACACAGACUCUUUCUGCAGAAAAAUUCCACCUAGUCGACCAAAAUGAGCAAGCUGUUCAAUACGAACUUCAGUCGUUGGGGGAUUCCAGUGCACAAAUGAUGAUCAUUGCCAGCCCAUCAGAAAAUGGACAGGUACUUCGUGUAAUUCCAUCUACCCAGACAGGAAUGGCACAAGUGAUUAUACCGCAGGGGCAGCUUGUGGAUGUGAAUAGUACUCAGGAUGUCCCUGAAGAGAAACCUAGUGACAGAAACUUAUCAACUGUAAGCGUGGAUACUCUAGCAGACAAUCCUAGCAAUUACAUUCUUCAUCCACAGUCAUCCUUCACAUUGCCCAAAAAGUCAGUAACCAGAAUGCUGGAAGAACCUCUUCUGGCGCCUCUUCAGCCACUUUCCUCUAACACACCUAUAUGGGCCUGCCGUCUCAGGAGCUGUGAGAAAAUUGGAGAUUCAUACCGUGGCUACUGUGUAAGUGAGACUGAAUUAGAAAGUGUCCUAACCUUUCACAAGCAGCAAACACAGAGUGUUUGGGGAACUCGUCAGUCUCCAAGCCCAGCCAAGCCUGCUACACGCUUGAUGUGGAAAUCCCAGUAUGUCCCAUAUGAUGGAAUCCCGUUUGUUAAUGCAGGGAGUAGAGCUGUGGUAAUGGAGUGUCAGUAUGGGCCAAGAAGAAAAGGUUUCCAGUUAAAAAAAAUCAGUGAGCAGGAAAGCAGGUCUUGUCAGCUCUACAAAGCCACUUGUCCAGCUCGGAUUUACAUUAAAAAGGUACAGAAGUUUCCUGAAUAUAGAGUUCCUACAGACCCCAAAAUUGACAAGAAAAUUAUCAGAAUGGAGCAGGAGAAAGCCUUUAACAUGCUAAAGAAGAACAUGGUAGAUGCUGGUGGUGUUCUUAGGUGGUAUGUACAGUUACCCACACAGCAAGCUCAUCAGUAUCAUGAAUUAGAGACUCCCUGCCUCCCUUUGUCACCUUCUCCUUUUCCUGUGUCUGCUCUUGAAGAAGAGGAAACUGCAGUUAGAGAUGAGAAUUGUGCAUUACCCUCACGUUUACAUCCUCAAGUAGCACAUAAGAUUCAAGAAUUAGUAUCACAGGGAAUAGAACAAGUAUAUGCAGUAAGGAAACAGCUAAGAAAAUUUGUGGAAAGGGAACUGUUCAAACCUGAUGAGGUACCUGAAAGACAUAACUUAUCUUUUUUUCCAACUGUAAAUGAUAUAAAAAAUCACAUCCAUGAGGUACAGAAAUCCUUGCGAAAUGGAGAUAUGGUAUAUAACUCAGAGAUUAUUCCAGCAACGCUUCAGUGGACUACAGACAGUGGGAAUAUUCUCAAAGAGACCGUGACAGUUACAUUUGCAGAAGGAAAUGCACCAGAAGAAUCAAUUACUACCAAAAUGGAAACAAAUCUGACAGGGGGUUCUUUGUCUCCUGAGCCAACCCACUUGCUCUCCUCACUGUCCUCAUUUCAGCCCAAAAUAUUUACACAGCUACAGGAUUUGCAGUUACAACCAAGGUUCACCUCUCCUGAUGAAUCACCAGCUCUGGUAUCAGUAAAUAACCAGCCAUCCUCUAGUCCUUCAGGACUUCUGAAUUCAAUAGGAAGUGCUGUAAUGAAUAAUAAUUCUCUACUGCUUGAUCAAACUCAUAGCCUUCAAAGAGAUACAUGCCUAACCCAAAACAAUAGUACUGCCUCCACCAUGAGUAACCUUCCAGAACCAGAUCAAAAUCUAGUUGCAAUGGACCAGCUGGUAGACGUUGGAGAUGUUGAGGAUACAGGGAAUCUGGAAGGAACUGUUCAUCAGAUUCUGCUGGGAGAUGUGCAGACUAUUCCAAUACGGAUUAUAGACAACCACUCAGCUCUUAUUGAAGAAAAUCCAGAAAGUACGAUUUCUGUGAGCCCAGUUAAGCAAGAACCCAAAGAACCAACAUUAUCUAUGGAAGCAAAAAAAAAUUUGGACUGUAAGAAAUUAUCUGCUACAUAAGUUAUUGAAGCUUUUCAGAAUUUACAACUCUGGUGACUUCUGAUGUCUUAGAAAAGAAGUUGUGAAGAAAUUUUUAAUUGGCAGACAGGUAAGAAAAUGUUUAUAAUCUCUCUCAUUAAGAAAGAUAAAGUAAUAGAUUUUACAUCGUAACACAAAGUGCAGCAGCUACAUCUGUGGAAAGGAAACUGUGCAGUUGCAUUUUAGCCUUUUUUAAUUUUUGUACUUUUAACUACAAAUCAAUAGUAUACUAAUGGUUAUCUAAUAGAAAUUUAAAGUGUCUUGGUAAAUACUGAGAAUUUUUACUUGAAUUAAUCAGAUAAGCAACAGAAAUCAACAUAUGUAGCAUGGAUUUGUGCUAUAUUGGAAGUAAAACACUAUAGAUAUUAAUAUGUAGAAAUUGAGAGAAUUGAGAAAGAUUAAUAGAAUUCCUUGGUGUUUACAGAUAAUUUGGGGAACUUUUUUGAUGACAGCAGAGGAUUUUUUCCCCCUUACUUUGUAAUGAAGAUCCAGCUCUGGUUAAAAAAGAAUUUGAUUUGUAGUUACAUUUUUCUGUGCCAGAGCUCUUACUGAAUUAAUGGUAUUAGGAUUUCUAGUAUUUUAAGGUAAGUAUUUAUAGUUCAAAAUUUAGUUUAUAUUUAAAACUUUAAAAUAACUCUUCUGGGAUAUUUUCAAGUAAGUAUAUUAAUUUAAAAUACCAAAUAAGUACUAAGCAGUAUAUUCAUUAUAAGCAUCUGUUGUCUAAAGAUUGGUAAACUAGGCUGGGUGUGGUGGCUCAUGCCUGUAAUCCUAGCACUUUGGGAGGCUGAGGUGGGUGGAUCACCUUAGGUCAGGAGUUUGAGACCAGCCUGGCCAACACGGUGAAACCCAGUCUCUACUAAAAAUACAAAAAUUAGCUGGAUGUGGUGGCAGGUGCCUGUAAUCCCAGCUACUUGGGAGGCUGAGGCAGGAGAAUCGGUUGAACCUGUGAGGUGGAGGUUGCAGUGAGCUGAGAUUGCACCAUUGCACUUCAGCCUGGGCAACGAGAGAAGAAUCUCUGUCUCAAAAAAAAGAAAAGAAAAAGAAAAAAGAUUGGUAAACUAGAAAUAUCAAUUAUAAUUGUUGGGAAAUUAACCUAAAGGUUUUUGUUUUCUCCAGAGACCAUUUGUGGGUAUAUUUUAUAUUUUAAAAAUAAAGAUUUUAAAUGGAUAUUAAUAGUUAAUAUUCAAAGCAUGCACAAUAUAUCAAAUUUAACCUUAACACUUUACAUGAAUAUGAGUCAUUUUCGGCUUUUCUAAGUCCAGCCUCCCAUUCUUAAUUCACUUUGUUUCAGGUACAUGACAUAUAUCUAAUUAUAAAGUACUGUUAUAGUAGAGGUAGGUGGAAUUCUAAUGUUCCUUGCCCUUUAGAUUUAUAUUUUAUUUAAUAUAAAGUUUAUUAUUUAUACCCUAUUUAAUGCAAAGCUAAUAUUUAAUUAUAUGUAUGAUUUUUUUAAUAAAAAUUAAUUUUCAUUUUCCUAAGAAUUGAAAAUAUUUGAUGUCAGCAUUUUAUAGAGGCAGGUUGCCAAAUUUGAUUGUGUUAUACUAAGUUAAACACAGCUCUUAGUUACCUCAAAUCCAGAUUUCUCUUAAUCUGUGUGUACAUAAAAGGAAUAAGUUCAGAAUAAUUUAUAGUUUAGUGUUGAACAAUAGGUAAUAUUCUUUUCAUUUACUCUAGUUUUUAUGGGAUCCUUUUCUUUCAAGAUUCUAAAUAAUAAAUCUUCACCUCUCAAUAGUGGUAAUGGUUUAUUAGCUAUUUCACCAAUUGAACUAUAUUCUUUUGGAGACACUCCUUUCUUUUUUGAUGUUGAGUUGCUAAGGAGAAAUGCUUGUUAAUAUACAAACUCCAGUCAGUUACUUGUAAGGAUGAGACAUGUCAGAGGAUUCAGACUUUGGUAUAGUUAAAAAAUAUUUUUCUCACUUCAUUCUGUGUGAAAGUCUCUUCUGAUACUGUUUUUUAAUCAGAAAGUUAACAGUGCAACUUUUCCACAAUCCAAAAAACAAAACAAAACCCCACAAAAACCGAGAGCAUGAAGAAAAGUUUAAAUCCCUAAUUAUAUACUCUUUUGGUUUUUAGGUAGAAACUGGAGCUAUCAGUAUGUUCAUGUAAGUAUUUAAAUGAGUAGCUCUUUAAAAAGCGAUUCAUUGUCAUCUAAAUGCAUGUUUAGUCACAAUGUAUCAGUAUUGUGUUUAAAGGUGCUCAGCAUCACUUUUUGAAAACUAUGUUUACAUAUUUAAAAUGUUUAAUUAUUUUUAAAUGUAUAGGGUAUUAAAUACAAGUUCCUAAAAUUUUUAGGAUCUAUGUUGGCAUUCUCCUAACAGCUCUACAGCAAAGUUUGACAUAGUGUUUUGUGUGUCACGUAUUAUAAGGUGUAAUAUCUGUAGGAGUGAGUUGGACAUUCAAAAUUAGCAGUAAGAAAUUCACAAUUACAGCUCAGCUUGUUUAUUCAUUAUACUUUUGACAUUCCCAACCUCCAAGUGAACUUUAUAUAUACUACAGUGAAUUAUAGGUAGAUAUAGCCUUGGUGGACCUGUGCCUCAAUAGCAAUUUUCUGUACAAAUAGUUAGCAUACUUAAAAGGAAAAGCUUUUGUAUCUUAUGCAAGGUAAAUGUUUCCUAAAUGUCACAAAAGUGAUAGAAAACAUAGCUUUUGGGAUCUGGUCCUGCAUUGGAGUUUCGAAUUCUAAGGCCCACCAGCUUGUGUUUCAUCUUUAUAUCCUGUCAGAAUACAUACUUAAUAAUGUGGGUAUGAGAAAGAUGUUGUUUAACUUGUACCAGGUUUAAAAAAGAGAUUUUUAAAAACGUGUGUGUGUGUGUAGCAAUUUAAUGUAUAGUGCCCUUGUUAUGUAUUUUUUUCAUUAUUUUUCUUAUACUUGUUAAUUUUCUUUUUAUAAUUUCCUUAGAGAUAGUAGCAAUUUUGUUCAUCUUGAAGAUGCUGAAUAAACACUUUAAUACCUGAGAAUUUUGACCAGAGAUUUAUGUCCAGUUGGGACCCUGAAAGUGCUAAGCGUAACUACCAGUAACUCCUAUUAGUAUUAUGUUUUGGGGAGAUAUAUAUAUGCAUUUAAUACCCUGCAACUCAGCCAAGCAUAAACAUUUUAAAACAAUGCAUGUAAUAAGUAAUUCUUUCUCCCCACCCCCUGACAUUUUGUCACCAUGAUAUUUUCAAGUACAGCUUUGUAUUUUAGGAGUAAUGACAAAGUAUGUGGUCAAAAGAGAAGAGAUUAUUAAUUUUUUCCCUCUUUGCUUUUUUCUUUUUUAAACUUUAUUCUACUCUGUACCUAUUUUCGAGGACCUUGGAAAUCUUAAUCUCUCCAGAAGGGAUACUGCAUUGGCUCUUCUCCAUCAGCUGUCUUAGACAUUUAAACACCUUAAAUGAUACACUGUUUUAGUAUUUAAAAAUCUAUAAUUCUACUUAAUUAACUUAGUCAUAAGGACAAAGCCUUAGUAUACUUUUGCCACAUACAUGUUAGCUAUGAGUUUUACUGUUGAAUAAUACAAGUAUUCAUUGCUGACUGAAUUCUUAAAACUUCACAAAUAAAAAAACUUAUUUAUUAAUGGAUGCUAAAGUGAUUCCUGAGAAAAAUAAAUAAUUUGUAUGGUUAACAUGGAAAACCUUUGGUAAUGUGAUAUGGGUAUAAGAAUACUUGGCUGGGCAUGGUAGCUCAUGCCUGUAAUCCCAGCACUUUGGGAGGCCAAGGCAGGCGGAUCACUGGAGGUCAAGAGUUCAAGACCAGUUUGGCCAACAUGGUGAAACCCUGUCUCUACUAAAAAUACAAAAGUAGCCAGGCAUAGUGAUGGGCACCUGUAAUCCCAUCUACUUGGGAGGCUGAGGCAAGAGAAUCACUUGAACCUGGAAGGCAGAGGUUUUAGUGAGUGGAGAUCACAUCAUUGCACUCCAGCCUGGGCAACAAGAGCAAGACUCCAUCUCAAAAAAAAAAAAAAAGAAUACUAAAACCAGAAGACAGAGUGGGAAUCAUGUACCAGGAGGGUUUUUAUUUUUAAAUAUCUUUAUUGAGGUAUAAUUGAAAUACAAUAAAUUGUACAUAUUUAAAGUAUUCAAUCUGUUAAGUUUUGUCAUAUGUAUACAGCCAUGAAAUCAUCACCAUAAUCAAGAUAAUGAACAUAUUCAUCACCUGCAAAAGUUUGUAGUACCUCUUUGUCAUCCAUGCUUACUUAAUCCUCCUUGCCUCCCACCCCAUCCCACCAUCACCUGACGACUGAUCUGCUUUCUUUAAUAUCAGUUUGCUGCAAAUGAAAUCAUAUUGUAUGAACCUUUUUUGGUCUUGCUUUUGUCACUCAGCAUAGUAAUUUUGUGAUUUGUCUAUAUUGUAGCAUUUAUGAAUAAAUCAUUUGCUGCUGAGUAGUAUUUUAUGAAUAUAUCAUAAUUUGUUUAUUCUUUUGAUGAUGGAUAUUAAUAAAUCUAGGCUAUUUUGAAUAAAGUUUCCAUGAACAU